rnacentral:rRNA from 1 species
UGGGGAAUUUUCCGCAAUGGGCGAAAGCCUGACGGAGCAAUACCGCGUGAGGGAGGAAGGCUCUUGGGUCGUAAACCUCUUUUUUCGGGGAAGAUAAUGACGGUACCCGAAGAAUAAGCAUCGGCUAACUCUGUGCCAGCAGCCGCGGUAAUACAGAGGAUGCAAGCGUUAUCCGGAAUGAUUGGGCGUAAAGAGUCCGUAGGUGGUUAUGUAAGUCUGUGGUUAAAGAGUGGAGCUCAACUCCAUAGGGGCCAUAGAAACUACAAGACUAGAGUAAGGUAGGGGUAGAGGGAAUUCUCGGUGUAGCGGUGAAAUGCGUAGAUAUCGGGAAGAACACCGGUGGCGAAGGCGCUCUACUGGACCUUAACUGACACUGAGGGACGAAAGCUAGGGGAGCGAAAGGGAUUAGAUACCCCUGUAGUC